GGCCUCUGAGUACUGACAUAGGCUAUGUUCUUGCACUGACUGUAUAGAAAGACAAGGCAGAGUAACCCUGCAUAUGUACCCCUCAGCCCACGCCUAUGCCUGGUCUUUAUUGUGGAUGGGACAGGG
rnacentral:snoRNA from 1 species